rnacentral:rRNA from 1 species
UACGGAAGGCAGCAGUGGGGAAUAUUGCACAAUGGGCGCAAGCCUGAUGCAGCCAUGCCGCGUGUAUGAAGAAGGCCUUCGGGUUGUAAAGUACUUUCAGUCGUGAGGAAGGUGUUAAGGUUAAUAACCUUAGCAAUUGACGUUAGCGACAGAAGAAGCACCGGCUAACUCCGUGCCAGCAGCCGCGGUAAUACGGAGGGUGCGAGCGUUAAUCGGAAUUACUGGGCGUAAAGGGCACGCAGGCGGUUAAUUAAGUUGGAUGUGAAAUCCCCGGGCUUAACCUGGGAAUGGCAUUCAAGCUGGUUAGCUAGAGUCUUGUAGAGGGGGUAGAAUUCCGAUGUGUAGCGGUGAAAUGCGUAGAGAUGUGGAGGAAUACCGGUGGCGAAGGCGGCCCCUGGACAAAGACUGACGCUCAUGUGCGAAAGCGUGGGGAGCGAAA